AAGACCUAUGAUAACCUCUACAACCUUGCCUUUAUUAUAGUGAAACGCUAUAUAGAGCUGAUAGAAAGAUCAGAUCCAUGGGCUGUAAGAGGAUAAAGUGAAUUGUGGCAUAUUUUAACCAAAACGAAAAAAAUACUUUUUAUGUAUCUUUAGGAACAAAAAAUUCUUUGCUUGAUUGAUACAUUCGGUUCUAGUUACUUUUUUCUUUAUUUGUGCAACUAAUUAUUACAAUAAGUCGUCGUCUGGUGUUGUUUGAUUAAUUUAUGUUCAUUUUAAAAAUCAAUUUAGCACUUUUCUGUAACUCAACAACGAAUUGUGUUAAAGUUAGAUGUUUUGUUUAUUUUCGUCAAUGUUCAGCUGAAGCGAACUGACGCUCGCCCUAGGACUACUGAGCGAGACAAAUCAACCAAAGAGCUGAUUAUUGUUGAAAUCAUUUUAUACGAUUACAACAUCCAAAUAAAUUUGAAUAAAAUAGGU